GAGAAGAUGGUUGAGUGGUCUAAAACAACGGUUUGCUAAAUCGUCAUGCUUAAAAAAGUAUCAUGGGUUCGAAUCCCAUUCUUCUCA
rnacentral:tRNA from 2 species